GACGAACGCUGGCGGCGUGCUUAACACAUGCAAGUCGAACGGAAAGGCCCUGCUUUUGUGGGGUGCUCGAGUGGCGAACGGGUGAGUAACACGCGAGUAACCUGCCCUUGACUUUGGGAUAACUUCAGGAAACUGGGGCUCAUACCGGAUAGGAGCUCUUGCUGCAUGGUGGGGGUUGGAAAGUUUCGGCGGUUGGGGAUGGACUGGCGGCUUAUCAGCUUGUUGGUGGGGUAGUGGCUUACCAAGGCUUUGACGGGUAGCCGGCCUGGGAGGGUGACCGGCCACAUGGGGACUGAGAGACGGACCAGACGCCUACGGGAGGCAGCAGUGGAGAAUAUUGCACAAUGGGCGGAAGCGUGAUGCAGCAACGCCGCGUGCGGGAUGACGGGCUUCGGGUUGUAAACCGCUUUCGCCUGUGACGAGGCGUGAGUGACGGUAAUGGGUAAAGAAGCACCGGCUAACUACGUG
rnacentral:rRNA from 1 species